rnacentral:rRNA from 1 species
GACGAACGCUGGCGGCGUGCUUAACACAUGCAAGUCGAACGGAAAGGCCCUGCUUUUGUGGGGUGCUCGAGUGGCGAACGGGUGAGUAACACGUGAGUAACCUGCCCUUGACUUUGGGAUAACUUCAGGAAACUGGGGCUAAUACCGGAUAGGAUCUCCUGCUGCAUGGUGGGGGUUGGAAAGUUUCGGCGGUUGGGGAUGGACUCGCGGCUUAUCAGCUUGUUGGUGGGGUAGUGGCUUACCAAGGCUUUGACGGGUAGCCGGCCUGAGAGGGUGACCGGCCACAUUGGGACUGAGAUACGGCCCAGAAUCCUACGGGAGGCAGCAGUGGGGAAUAUUGCACAAUGGGCGGAAGCCUGAUGCAGCAACGCCGCGUGCGGGAUGACGGCCUUCGGGUUGUAAACCGCUUUCGCCUGUGACGAAGCGUGAGUGACGGUAAUGGGUAAAGAAGCACCGGCUAACUACGUG